UGGGGAAUCUUGGACAAUGGGCGCAAGCCUGAUGCAGCAAUGCCGCGUGAGUGAAGACGGCCUUAGGGUUGUAAAACUCUUUCGCUAGGGAAGAUAAUGACGGUACCUAGUAAAGAAGUCCCGGCUAACCUCCGUGCAGCAGCCGCGUAAUACGGAGGGACUAGCGUUGUUCGGAAUUACUGGGCGUAAAGCGCACGUAGGCGGACCAGAAAGUUGGGGGUGAAAUCCCGGGGGCUCAACCCCGGAACUGCCUCCAAAACUAUUGGUCUAGAGUUCGAGAGAGGUGAGUGGAAUUCCAAGUGUAGAGGUGAAAUUCGUAGAUAUUUGGAGGAACACCAGUGGCGAAGGCGGCUCACUGGCUCGAUACUGACGCUGAGGUGCGAAAGUGUGGGGAGCAAACAGGAUUAGAUACCCUGGUAGUCCACGCUGUAAAACGAUGGGUACUCGGUGGUGCGGGUGUCGACCCCUGCGCUGCCUUAGCUAA
rnacentral:rRNA from 1 species